AUUGAACGCUGGCGGCAUGCCUUACACAUGCAAGUCGAACGGCAGCGCGGACUUCGGUCUGGCGGCGAGUGGCGAACGGGUGAGUAAUACAUCGGAACGUACCCUGUUGUGGGGGAUAACUAGUCGAAAGAUUAGCUAAUACCGCAUACGACCUGAGGGUGAAAGUGGGGGACCGCAAGGCCUCACGCAGCAGGAGCGGCCGAUGUCUGAUUAGCUAGUUGGUGGGGUAAAGGCCCACCAAGGCGACGAUCAGUAGCUGGUCUGAGAGGACGGACGGCCACACUGGGACGGAGCCACGGCCCAGACUCCGACGGGAGGCAGCAGUGGGGAAUUUUGGACAAUGGGGGCAACCCUGAUCCAGCAAUGCCGCGUGUGUGAAGAAGGCCUUCGGGUUGUAAAGCACUUUUGUCCGGAAAGAAAUCGCGCUGGUUAAUACCUGGCGUGGAUGACGGUACCGGAAGAAUAAGCACCGGCUAACUACGUGCCAGCCGCCGCCGUAA
rnacentral:rRNA from 1 species